UUGGGUUUGAUUUUGGGUGUUAUGGUCCCUAAGCUUUAGGAAUUAGGGGCCCAAAGGGGCCCAAAACAAGCAUUUAUCUAGUGUCAGUACAAACAGUUGUGUAUAAGUAUUUCAAUUGUUCUGAAAUUGUACCACAAUGUUUAAUACCAUAAGUAGAUGGUCGGGAUAUAUUUUGUGGGUUAUGGGGCAAACAGUCUAGGAAUAAAGGGCCAAAAAGGGGCCAAAAACAAGCAUUUUUGUAGUUUCAAGACAAUAAAUUGUAG
rnacentral:lncRNA from 1 species